rnacentral:rRNA from 1 species
GUGGGGAAUUUUGGACAAUGGGCGCAAGCCUGAUCCAGCCAUGCCGCGUGCAGGAAGACGCAUCUAUGGUGUGUAAACUGCUUUUGUACGGGAAGAAACACUCCCUCGUGAGGGAGCUUGACGGUACCGUAAGAAUAAGGAUCGGCUAACUCCGUGCCAGCAGCCGCGGUAAUACGGAGGAUCCAAGCGUUAUCCGGAAUCAUUGGGUUUAAAGGGUCCGUAGGCGGUUUAAUAAGUCAGUGGUGAAAGCCCAUCGCUCAACGAUGGAACGGCCAUUGAUACUGUUAGACUUGAAUUACAAGGAAGUAACUAGAAUAUGUAGUGUAGCGGUGAAAUGCUUAGAUAUUACAUGGAAUACCAAUUGCGAAGGCAGGUUACUACUUGUGGAUUGACGCUGAUGGACGAAAGCGUGGGGAGCGAACAGGAUUAGAUACCCGUGUAGUCC